rnacentral:rRNA from 1 species
GACGAACGCUGGCGGCGUGCUUAACACAUGCCAGUCGAACGGAAAGGCCCUGCUUUUGUGGGGUUCUCGAGUGGCGAGCGGGUGAGAAACACGUGAGUAACCUGCCCUGGGCUGUGGGAUGACUUCAGGCAACUGGGGCUAAUGCCGGCGAGGAGCGCCUGCUGCAGGGGGGGGGUUGGAAAGUUUCGGCUGUGGGGGAUGGACGCGCGGCUUACCAGCUUGUUGGGUGGGGAGUUGCUUAGCCAGGCUUUGGCGGGUAGUCUGCCUGGGAGGUUGGACGCCCACAUUGGUCCUGCGGUACGGCCCAGUCUCCUACGGGGGGCAGCAGUGGGGAAUAUUGCACAACGGGCGCAAGUCUGUUGAAGCAACGCUGCGAGCGGGAUGACGGCCUUCGGGUUGUAAACCGCUUUCGCCUGUGACCAAGCGUGAGUGACGUUAAUGGGUAAAGAAGCACCGGCUAACUACGUG